AGCUCCAAUAGCGUAUAUUAAAGUUGCUGCGGUUAAAAAGCUCGUAGUUGGAUCCGGGCAGUCGACGCACGGUUCGCCUCAAGGCGAUACUGUGUGCUUCGGCGCCACUAUCCGGUCAUGUCUUGCAUGUUCUUCAUUGAGCGUGCUUGGCGGCCGGGACGUUUACUUUGAAAAAAUUAGAGUGCUUAAAGCAGGCAUAUGGUCUUGCAUAAUGGUGCAUGGAAUAAUGGAAUAGGACCUCGGUUCUAUUUUGUUGGUUUUCGGAGCUCGAGGUAAUGAUUAAGAGGAACAGACGGGGGCAUUCGUAUUGCGGCGUUAGAGGUGAAAUUCUUGGAUCGUCGCAAGACGAACUACUGCGAAAGCAUUUGCCAAGAAUGUUUUCA
rnacentral:rRNA from 1 species